rnacentral:lncRNA from 1 species
ACAAUAAACCUGUUCGAAGGGGAAAUGGGAGAGAUGGAGUGUAGGAAGGCCUCAUGGCCUGAAGUAGUGAGAGGUCACAGUUAAGGUCCUAAGUGGGACAGAUGUGCUAAGGAUGUCUCGGAUGUUUAUGUGAAGGUGGACAUGUUCUUUCCUUGUUCAAUGUGGUAGCAGCUAGCCACGUGUGUUCAACGGAUACUAGAAAUGGAGUCAACACAACCAAGAGGAUGUGAACACACAGAGAAACGUAAGGGAUGCACAGAGGGAAGACUGCAUGAAGAUACAACUAGAAAAAGCCAUGUGCAAGAAAGGGCAAGCAAUCUCGGGAGAAGCUUGCUCUGCAUCCUUGAACUUCCAGACUUCAGAACUGCA